rnacentral:rRNA from 1 species
AUCGAACGCUGGCGGCAGGCCUAACACAUGCAAGUCGAGCGCGCGGCGGACGGGCGAGCAUUGUCUGGGCAACUGCCUGAUGGAGCGGGAUAACUACUGGAAACGGUAGCUAAUACCGCAUACCAUCAGAUGUGCCUAGAUGGGAUUAGCUAGUGGGAGGGGUAAUGGUUCACCUAGGCGACGAUCCCUAGCUGGUCUGAGAGGAUGACCGUACACACUGGAACUGAGACACGGACCAGACUCCAACGGGCGGCAGCAGUGGGGAAUAUUGCAAAAUGGGCGACAGCCUGAUGCAGCCAUGCAGCGUGUGUGAAGAAGGCCUUCGGGUUGUAAAGAACUUUCAGCGAGGAGGCGUUACUCGCAGAGGAAGCACCGGCUAACUCCGUGCCAGCAGCCGCGGUAAUUC